GCUUUAUUUAAUUAAAAAGUAAGGAAAUUUUAAAUAGCUUUGUUUCUAUUUCUAAACAGAGGGUCGAGCUAGACAUGUUGAAUGGAGUGCAGACAUGAUGGAAAAAUAAAUGGCUGAUAUAGUGAUUUAAAUGGAAUUAUGAGAAGUUAUAAGGGGUAUUUUGUACAUAUAAAGUCAAAUUUCUGCUGCCCGGUCAUGGUUCAAAACGUGGUUUCAAAAAAGCAUAAUUUCUGCUACUUCUAUAAAACCUAGGUUUUAAAGUCUCAAAACUUUGGUAAGAAAUUUAACCAAACAAAUUAUGAACCUGCUUUUUCUGCAAAACCAGCUUUUUGGCUGCUGUACUGCAGUGCCAAACAGGCCCUACAUCUAAUCUUCAGGUUGAAUAAAAUUGGCAAAAUGAAUAUAAAUUCACAAAAUCCAAGCAAGUCAACAAUGCUCAAAAUCCUUGGCCAAAAUUAAAUAUUGAAG
rnacentral:misc_RNA from 1 species